GACGAACGCUGGCGGCGUGCUUAACACAUGCAAGUCGAACGGAAAGGCCCUGCUUUUGUGGGGUGCUCGAGUGGCGAACGGGUGAGUAACACGUGAGUAACCUGCCCUUGACUUUGGGAUAACUUCAGGAAACUGGGGCUAAUACCGGAUAGGAGCUCCUGCUGCAUGGUGGGGGUUGGAAAGUUUCGGCGGUUGGGGAUGGACUCGCGGCUUAUCAGCUUGUUGGUGGGGUAGUGGCUUACCAAGGCUUUGACGGGUAGCCGGCCUGAGAGGGUGACCGGCCACAUUGGGACUGAGAUACGGCCCAGACUCCUACGGGAGGCAGCAGUGGGGAAUAUUGCACAAUGGGCGGAAGCCUGAUGCAGCAACGCCGCGUGCGGGAUGACGGCCUUCGGGUUGUAAACCGCUUUCGCCUGUGACGAAGCGUGAGUGACGGUAAUGGAUAAAGAAGCACCGGCUAACUACGUGCCAGCAGCCGCGGUGAUACGUAGGGUGCGAGCGUUGUCCGGAUUUAUUGGGCGUAAAGGGCUCGUAGGUGGUUGAUCGCGUCGGAAGUGUAAUCUUGGGGCUUAACCCUGAGCGUGCUUUCGAUACGGGUUGACUUGAGGAAGGUAGGGGAGAAUGGAAUUCCUGGUGGAGCGGUGGAAUGCGCAGAUAUCAGGAGGAACACCAGUGGCGAAGGCGGUUCUCUGGGCCUUUCCUGACGCUGAGGAGCGAAAGCGUGGGGAGCGAACAGGCUUAGAUACCCUGGUAGUCCACGCUGUAAACGGUGGGUACUAGGUGUGGGGUCCAUUCCACGGGUUCCGUGCCGUAGCUAACGCUUUAAGUACCCCGCCUGGGGAGUACGGCCGCAAGGCUAAAACUCAAAGGAAUUGACGGGGCCCCGCACAAGCGGCGGAGCAUGCGGAUUAAUUCGAUGCAACGCGUAGAACCUUACCUGGGUUUGACAUGGAUCGGGAGUGCUCAGAGAUGGGUGUGCCUCUUUUGGGGUCGGUUCACAGGUGGUGCAUGGCUGUCGUCAGCUCGUGUCGUGAGAUGUUGGGUUAAGUCCCGCAACGAGCGCAACCCUUGUUCACUGUUGCCAGCACGUUAUGGUGGGGACUCAGUGGAGACCGCCGGGGUCAACUCGGAGGAAGGUGGGGAUGACGUCAAGUCAUCAUGCCCCUUAUGUCCAGGGCUUCACGCAUGCUACAAUGGCUGGUACAGAGAGUGGCGAGCCUGUGAGGGUGAGCGAAUCUCGGAAAGUCGGUCUCAGUUCGGAUUGGGGUCUGCAACUCGACCUCAUGAAGUCGGAGUCGCUAGUAAUCGCAGAUCAGCAACGCUGCGGUGAAUACGUUCCCGGGGCU
rnacentral:rRNA from 1 species